rnacentral:rRNA from 1 species
CACCGCCCGUCACACCAUGGGAGUUUGUUGCACCAGAAGCAGGUAGCUUAACCGCAAGGAGGGCGCUUGCCGCGGUGUGGCCGAUGACUGGGGUG